rnacentral:rRNA from 1 species
GUCUAUGGCCAUGCCACCCUGAACAAGCCCAAUGUCUGAUCUUGGAAGCUAAGCAGGGUCAGGCCUGGUUAGUACUUAGAUGAGAGACCACCUAGGAAGACCAGGUGCUGUAGGUA